rnacentral:rRNA from 1 species
UGCCAGACUCCUACGGGAGGCAGCAGUGAGGAAUAUUGGUCAAUGGCCGAGAGGCUGAACCAGCCAAGUCGCGUGAGGGAAGAAUGUCCUAUGGAUUGUAAACCUCUUUUGUCAGGGAGCAAAGUCACCCACGUGUGGGUGUUGGAGAGUACCUGAAGAAAAAGCAUCGGCUAACUCCGUGCCAGCAGCCGCGGUAAUACGGAGGAUGCGAGCGUUAAUCGGAAUUACUGGGCGUAAAGGGUGUGCAGGCGGCUGAGUAAGACAGAUGUGAAAUCCCCGGGCUUAACCUGGGAACCGCAUAUGUGACUGCUUGGCUAGAGUGCGGCAGAGGGAGGUGGAAUUCCACGUGUAGCAGUGAAAUGCGUAGAUAUGUGGAAGAACACCGAUGGCGAAGGCAGCCUCCUGGGACGCAACUGACGCUCAUACACGAAAGCGUGGGUAUCGAACAGGAUUAGAUACCCUGGUA